CCAAUAGCGUAUAUUAAAGUUGUUGCAGUUAAAAAGCUCGUAGUUGAAUUUCGGGGUCAGCAGGUUGGUCGUGCCAAUGGUAUGCACUGGCCUUGCUGAUUCCUCCCUCUUGAUGAGCCGUAAUGCCAUUAAUUUGGUGUUGCGGGGAAUCAGGACUGUUACUUUGAAAAAAUUAGAGUGUUUAAAGCAGGCAAGCGCUUGAAUACAUUAGCAUGGAAUAAUGAAAUAGGACGUUUGGUCCUAUUUUGUUGGUUUCUAGGAUUGACGUAAUGAUUAAUAGGGAUAGUUGGGGGCAUUAGUAUUCAAUUGUCAGAGGUGAAAUUCUUGGAUUUAUUGAAGACUAACUACUGCGAAAGCAUUUGCCAAGGAUGUUUUCAUUAAUCAAGAACGAAAGUUAGGGGAUCGAAGACGAUCAGAUACCGUCGUAGUCUUAACCAUAAACUAUGCCGACUAGGGAUCGGAUGAUGUUAAUUUUUUAAUGACUCAUUCGGCGCCUUACG
rnacentral:rRNA from 1 species